UGAAGCCGAAAUCGUCUGGUCCAGCCAAACCUCGCGAUGGCUCGGGAAAUCCCGCUCAACCUGAAAUUUACUUUCGAAUGCUACUCUGCGCAGGCGCAGUUCCACAUUCGAGCAUCUUUCAGGAAUUGCCAAAUGGAAAAUUCAAAAUGUCUACAUGGUUUCACCACUGUAUAGCCAGCAUGUUACCACUGAUUUAAAGAAAAGUCCUUUCAACCUCAACUAAUAAAAAGGCAGUGCCUCUGUUAACCAGAGCUGGAUCAGGAACAUCUGAACCAAGAUCAAAGGCUGUAGUCACACAGGAAACACCACCCUGAUUUUGGAUGUAUAC